rnacentral:lncRNA from 1 species
AAAAUUUAUUAGUAAUAUUAUUUUUAUAAUUUUUAAAUUUAUUAUUUGGAAAUAUUUCAAUAUAGAGAACCAUAUUAUCUAUGAGGUAUUGUUGCUGACGCAUUUUUUAAAGUGGUUUCCCAGUAGGCUUAUUCCACUGAAGACAAGAUUUUCUCAUAAAAGGCCAAGAAAAUCUAAUCUGUUUCAUGUUUUAUUUUUUUAAUUAAAAAUUCGUUAUUUUUUGUCUUCAGUGGAAUAGACCUACUGGGGAAACCAUUUAAAAAAAUGUGUAAUAAAUAAAAUUAGUAAGUGAAGGCUCGUGUACAAAAUAAUUCGGAGUAAAACGAUGGGAAUGUAGAGCAAGGUGUUGAUAGCUUAUUAUUCUUUUAUCUUGCAUUAUUAACAAAACUUGCUUUGGCUCCACAUUUCCAUUUUACUCCGAAUUAUUGUGUAAUAAAUUUUCUUAAAUUUCAAUAAUCAAGGUUCUUUUAAGAGAAGAAUUCACUCGUUAAUUGGAUGGCGGCACUAUUCGUGCCGUUCUUAACAUGCGCACGUGAUAAGGAGAGGAAAGGAGGCGUUAAUCUCGAGAAUCGGCUGUAAAGUUGAACUAAUUCCGAGCCAUGGUUUAAAUUAUCCGAGUGCGUCAAAAUAGUUUCUUUAACAUGUACACUGCCUGUCAUUUUCUACACGAGGAUCAUGAUAACGAUAAUUCCAUUAUCGCCACAUGGAUUUGAAUAUUAAAGAAUAUCCCGCUACAUUCGUUUUUUUGGAACGAAACGCAAAAUCUCUAUGCGUGAAUAUCUCGUUAACACGAUAAAUUGCGGUAGCGUUCGUGGUAUUGUUUCCAUGAUUUCCAUCCGCGUGAACUAUACGACGGAAAUACGGUGACGUAAAUCGUGCAGAGAAAGUCCGCAAACUUUUCAAUGCUUUUUAUAGAAUCAAAAUAUCGGUUUCAUGCCUUCCAAACUGAAUUUAUCAUGCGUGAGAGCGAUUUGUCGCAAUGAAACAAUUGAAACAAUUACAUUUUACAUAACAUAUCGAUCAAGUAAGGUUCUUCUGUCUGUAGACUUUAUAGCGUAUAUAAUGAAAGUUUAAUAAGCAAGUAACAAUGCGAAGAACAAGUUAAAAUUAUGUGACACCAUUGAUCCGUGUUCCGCCACUAGCGUAUAUCGGUUAAAAGGGAAAAAGAAAGAAAGUCGGAAAAAAAGGACAAAAGUACUUCUUUCGAAUCAUUCUUUGCAAGGAGAGUGCGACUUUCGAAGAUAAUUGUUAUAUUUCUUGGUCCACGCGUAUUUUCAAGAUGGCACAUGACGACAGAUGAAGUAAGAGAAAAGCAAUCAAAUAUGAUACAUCUGAUUCUGAUAUUUUUGAGAAGAAAAGAUCAAGACCGAUGUGACAGUGAAAUAAUAGAGGGCCGAAAGAUAAUUUCCACCGAAACAAAUUAGACUAAAUACCAGCGCAAAGAGAUAAAUUAUGAAAUACAGUGUAAUAUGCAAUAACGUACAGAUUUUUAUUGUAACAAACCUACUGCUAUGAGCAUAUUUAAUUAUUAUUCUUCAAGAGAAGGAGAGGGUUACGUUGUGAGGUAUUUGUAGGGAUUCAUACGGUGUGAUUUUCUGCUGAUAGUUCGCAACGAAGCACUUGAACAACCGAGAUAUAAUCGAGAUGAAAAUACAUAUGAAAAUUCGAACAUGGACCAGCGAGGAUUGAUCCCGUCGGUCAUGUCGAUUAAACAAGCGAGAACCGUGGUUGCGCGGAAAGCGAUGGACGUGCAGAAAACUGGACCCAAAGGUCCACAUUUACGCUAGUCCGACCGAUGACUUUGACUCUCGAGAUGUGUGCGCAAACAUACCGUACUGUGUUAAUGUAAUACGCUCGUACACCAUGUUGAAUAUCCAAAUACCCCGACAAGCGCGUCUGGCAACAGAAAACCCAUGUACUUACAGAGCUGUCGUGUACUCGAAUUCUUAUUGUAUAUUCCGACCCGUACGUGUUUUCGUACGAGAAAGAAAAAAAAAGACGAAAGAAAGAGGAGAACUAGUCUACGUUGCUAUCAAAUGUCUUGAAAAGUGAUACGCUUAAAAAGAUAGAAAUCAGAAUCUAGAUCGUACUUGUGUGUGCAUUUCCUGCCCCCCCCCCCCCUUCCUCCCUCACAUUCUCAUCUUCUCUCACUCUCAUCUGUAUCUUUCCACUUAUCGACACACCGAGAAUAUCGUUCCUUCUUUUGUAAGCUUGUCACGUGUAAAUUUGACAAGCAAUCGUCGAAAUAAUCGACGAUAAUGUCAUGCUACGUUUAUAUCAACGGACAGAAAGAGAGUGAAUGAUCUGACGAAUGUCUGAUGCAUUUUCGUGAUAUUCGCGUGCGUGGGAAGAGAACGAGUUGAAAAGAAACGUUAUUACUUGAGAACGAUUUCUUCAACGAAGCUAAAAGUCGUUAUUUCGCAUAAUACCAUACACACACUCCUGUACAGUACAUAAGAUGUUGAAGCCGUGAUUAUGUCGCGCAUGCGAUUAUUCAUUCGCGAGUCAUUCUUGCGGGUAGAUAGGAUUUAUUUGAGUGAUCGGAAUAAUAUUUGAGUAAACGGAACCGUAUAAUUGUGUAAUCCCCGAUUGCGCGCAAGGAAGAAGCAUGCGUGCGUGCAUGCGUGAGCGAGCGCAAGGUCUACAUAAACACGAAGAGAAAGCUCCAAGUAUUUAUAUCGUACUAUAUCCUGCCAUCAGAGUUAUACACUCACACAUACAAGCGAUUGUAAAUACACACACAUACGCGCGCACGCACGCAUAUAUUUCCUUUUUCUCCUAGAUAAUAGACAAAGUGCAUGCGUUGCAUAAUGAGAGAAGUGAUUGUUGCGCUUAAGGCUUGUUGUAAUCUAAAACUCCGCUCGAGAGAUAUUUCUUUUUUUUUUCCUUUUUAUAUAUUUGUAAAUUGGUGCGAACAGAUUGGGACGCACUCUCGCAUCUUUUUCAUUCCUCGGCCCAUUGGUCAACGAUGAAGGUAUAUCGUGAUCGUGCGUGUCUACGGAAGUGAGUUUAGUAUCUUGUUGCAAAGCAUAACUACGAAAUAAAGAAAUUGGACGCGUGUUUUUCCUCGUAUAUUGUGAUUGUUUAGUUACGUUGAUAUGUAGAUUACCGACAGUGUUGAAGAACUGUUAGAGAUGAAAAACUGUGGAACUCUUUGAGAUUAAGUUGAUCAACACUAUAGUUUUUUUUUUCAUAUAGAGAAAAUGAAUGACGCGCAUAGCGAGGCUUAUACAUAUACAUUUUUGACUUACUAUACGUUCGUAUUGUUUUAAUGGACGAAUUGUUGAAUAAAAUUGCUAAUUGCUACAAAAAAAGAAAUCGCUGUUUUUAUGAGAUUGACAGCUUACGUGCAAUUGAAAUUGUACGCGUGUGUGUGUGUGCGCGUAUGUGUGUUUACUAUUGCUAAUAGUAUUCUCGACUGACUGGGCUUCGAUCGAUCCGGGAGUGAUUAAUAAUGUUAUUGGACCUGUUGCGUAUUAGCAGCAACAUGAUUAAAACGCGGACCGUGUUCAAUUCAAGUUUUAGAAUCUUGGAAAGUAUAUCCAAAAACAAAAAUAAAACUUGUAUUUUGAUAAGGUUUUAAUAAAGUUAAUCUUAAUAACUGAUAAAAAAUAUUUCAACUCGGUUAUGAAUUUACGAUAAAUUGCAAUUAAUCACUCUCGGAUCGAUCCAAAUUCGUUCAAUUAAAAACAUAAGCGAAUCACUGAUCGAACGAUUGUGAAAUACUAAAUUAGAUAUUAGAUACGCAAUAUUGCGCAUAAGUUUGUGUGUAUGCGUUGCAAGCUGACAUAUUUCUUGCAAUGGUAAAAACACACAAGAAGAAACUGAAAUAAGGAAAGAACUAGAAAAUUAUCAAUUAAUUAUGUUCACACAAAGCGUAUGCUUAUACUUCAAUUCGUCAACCAUUUACAUAACAAAUGCAAUUUUUAUUACAAUAUCAUUAUUAAUAUGUGGGAUUAGUGUCUUUGCGUGAUAUAAUUUUUUUUCAUUAUGUAAAUGAAAUAACGCCACUGGGAAAACGGAUGUGUUCUUUGGAAGGAAGUUAAUAGAACGUAAGAGUGAUUUUGGUUGUGUGUAAAAAUAGUACUACGUGUAUUCAAUGAAUUGUUUCUCUCAAAUUUUAUUGACGUGAGGUCCUGAAUUCACGAAUAUUGUCUCUUUUAAUAGUGUUCAAUACUGCUCCCUUCUCAAGUGGAUUCGUUUUCUUUCUACUCGUCUUGAACUGAUCUAUCCGAAACCGAGCAAAUUUGUGUACAUAGUGAUUAAAUUGUUUUAGUACUACUAUCA